GACAAACACAUGCUGGGUAGCCAGCGUGCUCGUCUCGGUGGGGUCUGGCUGUACUGUUUUCCGUGACACAGCUGCUGCAGCUGAGUACCCGGAUGGCUGCCACUUUGGAAGGUGAUAAUAAGUCUGACAGAAAAAUAGUUAUUCCAGUUCCAGUGUUUUUAAAAGUAUGUGUUUACAUAGGAAGGAAAACAAAUGUAUUAGUAUUAUUUAUUAUAUUUGAUUCACACUUUAGCAGUUAAUUACCAUAAAAUCUUGUGUUUAUUCUCCAGCUAGUCUACACUGGUCCAUUUUUGUUUGUUGGGUUUGUUUUCAACUAGUGCACAACAGCACACAUUGCACCCAGCUUAUAUGCUAUUUUUAAAAAAAUGCGUAAGGAUUGUAUAUGUGUGCCAUUUUAAACAAAGGACUUACCUACUCAAAAUUCUGUUUCCUAUUGUGGUUGAAUCGUUUGGAAGGAUCAGGCUCAAUGAAGAGGGCAGGAUGGACCCCUGUGCCCCUUCACUAAAGUCUAAAGCACACAUGGGAGCUGAGGGGUGCAAGGUCUACCCCUCCUGGCCGGCUCCUAGACCCACGCCUGUGGCUGUGCGCAGGAGACCCCGAUGCCACAGAAGAAAGUGGAAAUGGGAGAAGCAAGGAGGCGAGGAAGACGCCUUCAGGAGCACAGGCAGCUCUGCUGGCAGGAGACCUCACUACCGCAAACUUGGGAAAGAAGGAAAACCUUACUAAAUACGGAGGCAUUUGAAAGCACGUCAGCCAUCUGCAGGUCUGUGUGGCCCAGAGAGGAUUCAGGGACCAAGAGAACGUCCAUUGUCCAUUCAGUCUAUCCAAAUUUGCUGUUUUGUAGCCAAGUAUCCCUUCUGGUCACUGAUAGCAUGUGCACAGAGCAGGAGAUGGGUGUCCGGGUGGAUCUAAGCAACACUUUCCCAAGUCCUGGCGGGAGUUAUGGUUGCAGAACAAUAUCCAGGGUAAAUCUUCCCUAGGCUCAGCAUACUCGGUGCCCGGCAGCAGGUUUGAUGAAAAGGGACAAAUGACUCCAGUGGAAAGGUCACAGCUCACCUCCUCUCUGUGAUGCUUUCAAUGGUGAUGUUUAUAGGGACUUGGUUUGGUUUCUAUCCAUCUGCUUUUAAUAAGGCCUCUACCCUCUUAAUUGCUUAUUCAAAUCUACAACUGAGUCGAAGAAUGAGUAGUGAAGCAUGGAAAGAACCGAGAUGGGAAAACAGAAUCUACAAAGAAAGUAAACAGAGGCCAAUAUAAUGGAAUCUGUGGAAGCUCCCCACAGCGCAGGCCCCGGACGCCGCGUACCUUGUCCUCUGACAUUUUAACAUGCCUCAUCUAUGUGAGACCAUUGUCUGUUCUGUGGUCCUUGUGCUGCUUCCAAAGACAGAAUAACAUGCAAUUAAAGAAGGUGAUGCCCAUGGUUCU
rnacentral:lncRNA from 1 species